rnacentral:rRNA from 1 species
UGGGGAAUCUUCCGCAAUGGGCGAAAGCCUGACGGAGCAACGCCGCGUGAACGAUGAAGGUCUUAGGAUCGUAAAGUUCUGUUGUUAGGGACGAAGGGUAAGAAUCAUAAUAAGGUUUUUAUUUGACGGUACCUAACGAGGAAGCCACGGCUAACUACGUGCCAGCAGCCGCGGUAAUACGUAGGCGGCAAGCGUUGUCCGGAAUUACUGGGUGUAAAGGGAGCGCAGGCGGGAAGACAAGUUGGAAGUGAAAUCUAUGGGCUCAACCCAUAAACUGCUUUCAAAACUGUUUUUCUUGAGUAGUGCAGAGGUAGGCGGAAUUCCCGGUGUAGCGGUGGAAUGCGUAGAUAUCGGGAGGAACACCAGUGGUGAAGGCGGCCUACUGGGCACCAACUGACGCUGAGGCUCGAAAGUGUGGGUAGCAAACAGGAUUAGAUACCCUGGUAGUCCACACCGUAAACGAUGAUUACUAGGUGUUGGAGGAUUGACCCCUUCAGUGCCGCAGCCAACGCAAUAAGUAUUCCACCUGGGGAGUACGUUCGCAAGAAUGAAACUCAAAGGAAUUGACGGGGGCCCGCACAAGCAGUGGAGUAUGUGGUUUAAUUCGACGCAACGCGAAGAACCUUACCAAGUCUUGACAUCCCUUGACAGACAUAGAAAUAUGUAAUCUCUUCGGAGCAAGGAGACAGGUGGUGCAUGGUUGUCGUCAGCUCGUGUCGUGAGAUGUUGGGUUAAGUCCCGCAACGAGCGCAACCCUUAUGGUCAGUUACUACGCAAGAGGACUCUGGCCAGACUGCCGUUGACAAAACGGAGGAAGGUGGGGAUGACGUCAAAUCAUCAUGCCCUUUAUGACUUGGGCUACACACGUACUACAAUGGCGUUAAACAAAGAGAAGCAAGACCGCGAGGUGGAGCAAAACUCAGAAACAACGUCCCAGUUCGGACUGCAGGCUGCAACUCGCCUGCACGAAGUCGGAAUUGCUAGUAAUCGUGGAUCAGCAUGCCACGGUGAAUACGUUCCC